UGGCGGUGGCUGGCGUCUCCAAUCUGUCGCUGAGAUAUGAAGCUCCAUCUUUCGCAGUGUGGCCCGUGACACCAAACCUCUGAGUUUAAGGUGCAACACAGUUCAAUAGUGUCACCAGACAAAUGGGUGACGCUUUGGUGUGUUUCAGGUACGUUGGUUUUGUUUUAAAGUGAGGGUUAAGCAUCAAUUCAUUAUCGCAUUUGGUGUAGUUCCUUGUUCUGUUAAAUACAAUUUACUCCGUUUUUAGAAAGGAAUUCUUAUUUUUAUCCUCAAUAUAAACACAGCGGUCGAUACAGUCAACAAGUCUGUAUUUGCUGUUUUCAGUGAUUGUCUGUUUGUGAAUGAAAAUAAAACACGUACAGGUUCUGCGUCUGAAUAAAACGAAGAAAACAAUAAUAAUAAAGAAAAGCAGGUAAGUGGUAAGUGGCGGUGAGAUGAACAUUUUAAACUGAGCCCAGCAUCUGUGUGUAGGUGCAGUUAUGACGUCUUCACAAGGUUGAGGAUGACGUCAUCACAAGUAUUUCCAAGGACAUUGUCUCUGGGUUAUGGAUGACCUCAUCACCCACAGCUUCAUACAAGGUCAGCCACAAAUGCUUGGCCUCUCAUCCGCCAUUGAGCCUCAUCCACGCCGACCCAGUCACAGAGUCGCCUCUAUUCCUGCUGCUGACCACCGCAGGCCUGAAACCUCCCGCUAUAGAUGCACUCAGCACCGGCAGGUGAUAGGUUGAAGACGUCUUGAGUGGGUGAAGAGCCCUUGAGCCUGAACGACACUCAGCCAAACUGCACUUAAGUACCAGCUGAAUAUUUGAAGAGCGCCAGAGAGCUCAGAGAGUGGGAAGGAGGAGCAGGGGUGGAGCACCCGGACUUUUAUGAAGCCGGGACCAGAUGUCACCCAGCCGCAGACCCAAUUAAUCUCCGGCCCGGAACUAUGCAGAGACAAAGACGGCCCUGAUUGGGUGUGCAGGGCGGCGCUGGAGAGACGAGGCCAGGGUGAGAGAUGGUAUCCUGUGAGCAGCCGGUGCUGGCGAGCCUGCAGAGGCAGAUGGAGACCCGGGGGCGGGGAAUCUUGCUGGCUGGAGGAGGAGCCUGACAAACCUGAGUGAGGGCAAACCUGCAGAUGAUGAUGGGAUCAGCUCCUGUGGAUGGACCUGGAGCUGGACCUGGUCCGGUGUUUGGUGACAGACAGGGGACGCCAUGGACGAGGAAGACGUAAUGACUGUUGGUCAGACACUCAGGAAUCGUCUCACCAGAAUGCAUCUUUAGCAGGAGACCCCACGAGAUGAUUUUAGCACAGCGAGUCUACGGUCACAGUCUAAAGUGGCAGUUCUGAUGUUUACAUAGCCGUCAGUGGCUGCGCCACACGGCAGGUGGAGGAAGACGUGACCCUCCAGGACCUUCGCUGAUCUCAGCUUGAGCAUCCCGAUGUUUAUUGGUAUCUCCAUUGUUCAUCUGUGGAUAUAAUUAGCUGACUGAAGUCUGACAAAGGAUGCAAAAGGGGGUGGGGCCUGUGGGGGGCCCCAGUGACCCCGCUCGACCCGCUCCCUCAACAAUGACAGACAGACACUUUCAGUGACAGACUUCAUUAAAGCGACAUCAUGGACCCCUGCGGUGAGGAGAUAACAACAGAGACGUCGGAGGCUUGUGCGGAACAAAAGGCCUGGAACAGCUGAUUCACUGUCACCUCCUUCACGCUAACACAGCACAAUGAAACACAAGUGUGAAGAAGGGCUUCUGAUUCAGUGGAACCUGGUUCCUCCUGAGGAGAGGCCGGGCGCUUCCUGGCUGCUGUAAUCAUGCUGAUGAAAGGAUGGAGGAGACCAAGGGCCCGGCUGUCGUCCCGGCCCAGCACUCGAGGCCCUUUAGUCAAGAGGCCUCUGGAGCAGUGUCCUGCAGACAGACACCAUGUGAUGCUGCCACUGAAGAGGUCGGGGAGCGUUCCAACAAGGAUUUCCAGGACGGCCCAUCCCCAUCCCCACCAGGUCUCACAAGCAAGAUCUUCAUUUCUGUCUGAGGUCAGACUCCGCUUCCUGACGCUGCACUGCACGUGUGCAGAGUGGACUUUAGUCAGCUCUGUCUGAGGAGGGGUCACAGCGUCAUUUCAGUCAUCCUCCUGCGCCGCAGCCAUCCCCCAGGCGGGGUCGCCAGUGAUCACAGCGGCGCUAUGGUUACAGCGCCCCGUCAACACACACACAGAGCUGGCAUUAGCAAGGAUGAAUGAGGAUAGCUUCCACAAGUCGGAAGGUGUCGACGCUUUCAUCCGGAGGGAGGAGAGACGGAGUAAGUGAGGAGAGACGGGUGAAUGUUCUGGAGAAAAGUGUGCGUUCGUCUUUCGGAGAUGUUCUGCAGGUCAGAGGUGUGCAGGGUUCAAGGUCACUGUCAUGUGCAUGUCAGCCGGUCAUCAGCUGCUGUCCGGGGACGGCUCCCGUUCUCGGUGCAUGGUGGCGCUCUGGUGUUUGAUGCUGUCCAGGUACUCCUGCUGCGACACGGCGAGCACCGACGCCAGGAUCUCGUCGUCCUCCCAGUCGGUCAGACCUGAGACACACAAGGUCCAUUCAGAGUGGAGCUGCAACUGGAAGCUGUGGUUCUCAUCACAACUGCCUUCUCUGCGACAUCAACCUUCAAGUCCUGAAACCAUCCAUCUGAGUACCAAAGACGAGCGGCGGACCAGUGAAAGACAGGAGGAGCCAAGCGUCUCUCACUGCUGCGUCACACUCAGGAGGACAAGAGAUGAACAUGAGCUGGUUCAAGUCAAGGAGCAGUCAGAUGACAACUGUCGUCCACCCGGGCCCUCGCCUCUGAGACACGCCUCUAGCUUGCGGCCAACAACGAGAAAACACCACCAAGUGGGGAUGGAGCGUUGACAGCGCAGGCUGGCGGUGAAGACUGAGUGAAGGUGCACGGCCCAGACAAGACGGAGCAGUGGUGGCCAGCUUGUUGGAGAGAUGACGGGAGCGCCAUCUCAUGACAGUCGUGCUUUGAAGACGAGCCGCUGCUGAUGAGGAUGAAGAGUGGAUGUGAAAAGUACACACUCACAGAUGCGAUUACAUCACCGAGUCUCGCUGGACCGUCGGCCCGUGUUUGUAAGCCAAGACGCUGAUGAUGUCACAGGAGUCCUGAAAGUGUCUGAGUCAGGAGAGGUCAUCCCUCCAUUCUGGCCCAGGAACAUCUCUCCAUCCCUGCUGAGCCUCUGGAAGUGCAGUGAUGUCCCAGUCCGGCGGGCGACGCAAACGCACCACCUACAACAGUCACAUCCUUUGGCUCGUUCAGGUUCCAGUACCCGGCGCCAGCAGUUGGCGAGGAUGUUGGGCAUCAGGGCUUCUGGGGUCCAGGAGAGAGAACCACUGGGGUGGAAAGCCCGUCGACGCUGAGAGCUGGAAUGUGGAUCUGAUUACUGCCGUUCGUGGGAAACUGAAGGAAGAAAGACAAGGAGAGCUUGGCAGGAGAACGAGGAGCGAUGGGGCUGAGAGUGCUCCAGAAGUGGAUGGUGGAGGGCAGGGGGCUCGGCGUCAGCAGCACCGGUGUCUGCAAGGAGAGGUGUUCCAUCACCAUGGCAACAAAGACACGUUGAACAGGAGGGGUGAGAUCAUUUACCAGAGCGUGGGAGGUGAUGACGGUCGGGGUGAGAGUGUUGGUGGCUGAUCCGGGAGCCAGUAAACUAUUCACAGCUGCAUUCACCUGCAGGAAGACGAAGUGAAGUCACUCUCGCACUCACACAUAGAACUGGAGGUGUGGCCACACCUUAUCCAGGGAGAGGCCAGGAGGGAGGUAGGGGGAGGAAGGCAGCUCCAAGCCACGUGGCUUCUUGGCUUUGGGGGGUGCAGCAUCGGUGGUGGAGGUCACUGCUGAGCUGGAGGUAACUGCUGUGGUGGUCCCCAGAGAGAGAGGCGACUCUGUGUCAAAGGAGAAGAUUCACCUCGUCUUUGGAUCCACAGCAGUGCGACCCAUGAUUCAUCCCAGCAAGCCAGGGUCAGCGCAUGUCUGCUCACCUGUCAGGGACUCCUGGCUCUUCUGCUCAACAGCACCCUCCCCGGCAGGCUGGCCUCCAUCAGCAAGCUCCACAGUGGCGGGAAGCGGACUCUCCACAAUGGUGAGGGCGGAGUCAUGAUCCCCGGAACCGGAUAUUAGCUGAGGCACCUGCUGGGCAGUCGGGUGAGACACCAUGUCCAGCAGGUCCUCCUCCCACAGCAAGUUCUCCUCCUUUACAAUGAUGGAGGGGGGUGGCGGAGCAGCGGACAGACCCGCUGACUGCUGCUGCCCAGAGGAGGGGGGGUUGAUGAUGACGAAGACAGGAGGAGGGUGAGAGGCAGCUUGAGAGGGAGUCCUGUGAGGGCCACUGAUGGUGCCGCUCGGGUGAGGAGGAGUGUGUGUGAGAGCCGGGUGAGAUGGGUUGGCUGCACCGAGUGUGGCGUGAGGGACAUUGUGGGGGUGAGUUGGUUGAGGGCCACUGGGGACCUGUGAAGUGGGGGCAGUGUUGUGGAGGUGAGGGGGAUGUGGGGCAGCGUGCGGG